rnacentral:rRNA from 1 species
GGGUCAGUAGGUUGGUCGUGCCACCGGUACGUACUGGUCUCACUGAUUCCUCCUUCCUGAAAAACCGUAAUGCCAUUAAUUUGGUGUUGCGGGGAAACAGGACUGUUACUUUGAAAAAAUUAGAGUGUUUAAAGCAAGCUAACGCUUGAAUACAUUAGCAUGGAAUAAUGAAAUAGGACGAUCGAUCCUAUUUUGUUGGUUUCUAGGAUUGACGUA